rnacentral:rRNA from 1 species
UGGGGAAUUUUGCACAAUGGGGGAAACCCUGAUGCAGCGACGCCGCGUGAUUUAGAAGGCCUUCGGGUUGUAAAAAUCUUUUCUAUGGGAAGAAAAUGACAGUACCAUAGGAAUAAGGACCGGCUAAUUACGUGCCAGCAGCCGCGGUAAUACGUAAGGUCCGAGCGUUGUCCGGAAUCAUUGGGCGUAAAGGGUACGUAGGCGGGUAAGCAAGUUAGAAGUGAAAUCCUAUAGCUAAACUAUAGUAAGCUUUUAAAACUGCUCAUCUUGGGGUAUGGAAGGGAAAGUGGAAUUCCUAGUGUAGCGGUGAAAUGCGCAGAUAUUAGGAGGAAUACCGGUGGCGAAGGCGACUUUCUGGCCAUAACCUGACGCUGAGGUACGAAAGCGUGGGUAGCAAACAGG